AGGACCUCCUGCCUAAUGCGUAGGGAAGCCAAUGCUGUGGUACAGUUUUAGCAAAAAAGAAAGAGAUGUCUGCAAAAUAUCUGAUCUGCCACGAGAGUUGAUGUACACCCUCCGUGAAGGCACAAAGAAAGAGGAAGGUACCGAAGUCCUAUUCCAUCUGGAGCUUUAUAUCUGGAAAUAACUUUCUUAGUCUGUCUUUAGUACCCGUACGCCAAGCUGACAGCUCUCCCCCUCCUGCCCCUGGAUCUGCGGAUCGGUGGGGACUGACGCCCCACCCCUGAGAAGAUUCACUUACAGUAACUGCUGAGGUGCAAGCAGAGAAUGAACAAUA